UACGUAGGGUCCGAGCGUUGUCCGGAUUUAUUGGGCGUAAAGAGCUCGUAGGCGGCUCAGUAAGUCGGAUGUGAAGACUCGGGGCUCAACCCCGAGACGCCAUCCGAUACUGCUGUGGCUCGAAUCUGGUAGGGGAGCACGGAAUUCCUGGUGUAGCGGUGAAAUGCGCAGAUAUCAGGAGGAACACCGGCGGCGAAGGCGGUGCUCUGGGCCAGUAUUGACGCUGAGGAGCGAAAGCGUGGGUAGCAAACAGG
rnacentral:rRNA from 1 species